rnacentral:miRNA from 1 species
UUAGGGCAAAGUGCGAGCACUG